rnacentral:rRNA from 1 species
UACGUAGGGUCCGAGCGUUGUCCGGAGUUACUGGGCGUAAAGGGCGCGCAGGUGGCGGUGUUGGCCCGGCGUGAAAGCCCCCGGCUCGACCGGGGAGGGUCGUCGGGGACCGCACCGCUUGAGGGCGGUAGGGGCUGGUGGAAUGCCUGGUGUAGUGGUGAAAUGCGUAGAGAUCAGGCGGAACACCCGUAGCGAAGGCGGCCAGCUGGGCCGUCCCUGACACUGAGGCGCGAAGGCGUGGGGAGCGAACGGG